CCUACGGGAGGCAGCAGUGGGGCAUAGUGGACAAUGGGGGAAACCCUGAUGCAGCGACGCAGCGUGAGUGAAGAAGUACUUCGUUACGUAAAGCUCUAUCAGCAGGGAAGAAAAUGACGGUACCUGAGUAAGAAGCCCCGGCUAACUACGUGCCAGCAGCCGCGGUAAUACGUAGGGGGCAAUCGUUAUCCGGAUUUACUGGGUGGAAAGGGAGCGGAGCCUGUGCGGCACGUCUGGAGUGAAAUGCCGGAGCUUAACUGCGGAACUGCUUUGGAAACUGGCGAACUAGAGUGCGGGAGGGGUAAGCGGAAUUGCUAGUGUAGCGGUGAAAUGCGUAGAUAUUAGGAGUAACACCGGUGGCGAAGGCGGCUUACUGGACCGUAACUGACGUGGAGGCUCGAAAGCGUGGGGAGCAAACAGGAUUGGAUACCCGAGUAGUC
rnacentral:rRNA from 1 species